UGCUGUGCAGGCUCAGAGAAGCUGGAGAGAGGCCACGCAGAGCGGGCCUGGCCAUGUGGAGUGCCCUGUGCCUGGGCUUCUUGCCCAUUGUAGCAGUUUCUCUCGCUGGUGCAGCCACCUUGGAGCAGAACCCCAGGGAAGUUUCCGUGCAAGAGGGAAAAGCAGUCACCUUGCAGUGCCGCAUGAAGGGGGAUUCUAUGAGGUACUACACCAUAUCGUGGUACCGUCAGGGCCCAACUGGCGCUCAGGAAUGGAUUUACAAGGAGGAUGGCACCUAUGGCGAAAGUUUCAAAGAUCGCUUUAAGAUAAAAGAUGAGAAGUUCAUGAACAGAUUCCCACUGCAGAUCCUGGCAGCAAAGCCAGAAGAUGCAGCAACCUACUACUGUCGUGCAAGAAUCACCCUGGAGCAGUUCUACAGCAGU